rnacentral:tRNA from 1 species
GCGCGGAUAGCCAAGUGGUAAGGCAGAAGCCUGCAGAGCUUCCAUGCGGGGGUUCGAAUCCCUCUCCGCGCU